rnacentral:rRNA from 1 species
CCCGGCAACCAUAACGGAGGGGAAACACCCGAUCCCAUUCCGAACUCGGAAGUUAAGCCCUCCAGUGCCGAUGGUACUGCGUGGGAAACUGCGUGGGAGAGUAGGUCGUUGCCGGGU